UAAAAUUCAAACCUCAACGGUCGCGAGGACAGCGAGAAUCACCACAGGAUGGCGAAGAUGAUAAUUAGCGAUUAUUUCUGUAAAAAGUGGGCCAUUCUUAUUUCGAAUACACUCCUGAACGAAGUUCUAACGUGAUUUAAGUAAUUUGGCGUCGAAAUCAGCGUUUGGGUGAAUAUGAAGGAUAUCUGAAGAUUACGAACCGCUCCAUCUUGUUGGGGAAGCGGCCCAUUGGGACGUUGAGGGUCUGUUAAAAACCCUGCUUACCAAUGAUAGCGUUGACGUAAGAGAUUCAUCAGGAGACUGUAAUAUAAGCGCCGCAAUACAACAUGAAGAUUAAACCAUCAAGCUACAUCAAUGGUAUUGAAAUCUCCAGCAAAACCAAAACUUCUGCCCCGUGUGAGGCUCGAACUCACGACCUUCAGAUUAUGAGACUGACGCGCUGCCUACUGCGCCAACGAGGCCUGAAGAGGGAGUCUGCUAAACCUUCUCAUGUUCCAGCAGGUAAGUCUCAGCAAACUGGUGUGCACUUCAGUUCUGUACUUGAUUGUGAAUAUCUAUUCUGUACUUGAUAUGUUUGUGUUCACAUCUGCUACAAUCCCAAAAGACAGUUUGUACAAAAAUGACCGAGGAACAAUAGAUCAGUUUAAACAAUGAGAUUCAACCUGGCCCACUAGAGGGAGCCAAAGCGCACAGCCACUUUAAAGAUUGUAGACCUAAAAUGCAUAAAUUACUUUAAAAACGUUAUAUUUCA